UACGUAGGGUGCGAGCGUUGUCCGGAAUUAUUGGGCGUAAAGAGCUCGUAGGCGGUUUGUCGCGUCGACUGUGAAAACCUGGGGCUUAACUCUGGGCCUGCAGUCGAUACGGGCAGACUUGAGUUCGGUAGGGGAGACUGGAAUUCCUGGUGUAGCGGUGAAAUGCGCAGAUAUCAGGAGGAACACCGGUGGCGAAGGCGGGUCUCUGGGCCGAUAUUGACGCUGAGGAGCGAAAGCGUGGGGAGCGAACAGG
rnacentral:rRNA from 1 species